rnacentral:rRNA from 1 species
AUUGAACGCUGGCGGCAGGCCUAACACAUGCAAGUCGAACGAGUGGCGGACGGGUGAGUAAUGUCUGGGAAACUGCCCGAUGGAGGGGGAUAACUACUGGAAACGGUAGCUAAUACCGCAUACCAUCAGAUGUGCCCAGAUGGGAUUAGCUAGUUGGUGGGUUAACGGCGCACCAAGGCGACGAUCCCUAGCUGGUCUGAGAGGAUGACCAGCCAAACUGGAGUUGAGACAGGGCCCAGACUCCGACGUGAGGCAGCAGUGGGGAAUAGUGCCCAAGGGGCGGAAGCCUGAUGCAGCCAUGCCGCGUGUAUGAAGAAGGCCUUCGGGUUGUAAAGUACUUGCAGCGGGGAGGCGUUACCCGAAGAAGAAGCACCGGCUAACUCCGUGCCAGCAGCCGCGGUAAUUC